rnacentral:misc_RNA from 1 species
AAGUCGUAACAAGGUUUCCGUAGGUGAACCUGCGGAAGGAUCAUUAUUGAAGUCUCUGAGAGGUUUCGUUGCUGGCUCUCCGGAGCACUGUGCACGCCUCUCACACUUUAUUCAACCACCUGUGCACCUCUCGUAGCUUUUCAGAUGCUUUCUUCAGUCUUCGGGCUGGCGGGGACUGCUGCAGUGAUUUUGCUCACAGCUUCAGUCCGAUAUCUGAAAGGUUUGCGCUCUACACAAACACUGUCAAUGUUUAAGAAUGUAUCACGGUCUUUUUGGACCUUAAAACUAUAAUACAACUUUCAACAACGGAUCUCUUGGCUCUC